GUCGUCUUAAGUAGACAUGAAUAUGUCGGGUAAGCCCAACGAGCGUUUCGGUGCUAGUCUGCGUCUUUGUCAAGAGCUAACCGGUAUGUUGGUUGGUGCCACUUUUUAAAUCUCUAUAAGCUCCGCACAUGAAAUCCAUGACGUCAUCGUCAUUCCCUGACUGAGUCAAUUAGUGGGCGGGGAUAGGGAAAUGAGUGGCCCGAUCGUGGUCUCGGCAUAGGGGAAAUGAAUGAACCCGCUCUCUGCCGAGUAUUGUCCUAAUCCUCAUGAUACAAACGUAGGGAACCACAGUAGUAUUGAUAGUCCGUUACAAAACAUAUUCAUGUCUGCUUAAGACGAC